UGUCCAGGGAUGGGAAUCGAACCCACAACGUUCCGCUUACCGGGCAGAUGCCAUGUCCACUAGGCUACCCUGUAC
rnacentral:tRNA from 1 species